CGUACACUCCUGCGGGAGGCAGCAGUGGGGAAUAUUGGACAAUGGGCGCAAGCCUGAUCCAGCCAUGCCGCGUGAGUGAUGAAGGCCCUAGGGUUGUAAAGCUCUUUCACCGGUGAAGAUAAUGACGGUAACCGGAGAAGAAGCCCCGGCUAACUUCGUGCCAGCAGCCGCGGUAAUACGAAGGGGGCUAGCGUUGUUCGGAUUUACUGGGCGUAAAGCGCACGUAGGCGGACUAUUAAGUCAGGGGUGAAAUCCCGGGGCUCAACCCCGGAACUGCCUUUGAUACUGGUAGUCUUGAGUUCGAGAGAGGUGAGUGGAAUUCCGAGUGUAGAGGUGAGAUUCGUAGAUAUUCGGAGGAACACCAGUGGCGAAGGCGGCUCACUGGCUCGAUACUGACGCUGAGGUGCGAAAGCGUGGGGAGCAAACAGGAUUAGAAACCCCUGUAGUCCCAUG
rnacentral:rRNA from 1 species